AUUGAACGCUGGCGGCAUGCCUUACACAUGCAAGUCGAACGGUAACAGGUCUUCGGAUGCUGACGAGUGGCGAACGGGUGAGUAAUACAUCGGAACGUGCCUAGUAGUGGGGGAUAACUACUCGAAAGAGUGGCUAAUACCGCAUGAGAUCUACGGAUGAAAGCAGGGGAUCGCAAGACCUUGUGCUACUAGAGCGGCCGAUGGCAGAAUAGGUAGUUGGUGGGAUAAAAGCUUACCAAGCCGACGAUCUGUAGCUGGUCUGAGAGGACGAUCGGCCACACUGGGACUGAGACACGGCCCAGACUCCUACGGGAGUAAGCAGUGGGGAAUUUUGGACAAUGGGCGAAAGCCUGAUCCAGCAAUGCCGCGUGCAGGAUGAAGGCCUUCGGGUUGUAAACUGCUUUUGUACGGAACGAAAAGCCCCGGGUUAAUACCCUGGGGUCAUGACGGUACCGUAAGAAUAAGCACCGGCUAACUACGUGCCAGCCGCCGCCGUAA
rnacentral:rRNA from 1 species